rnacentral:rRNA from 1 species
AGCAGUAGCCGCGGUAAUACGUAGGGUGCGAGCGUUAAUCGGAAUUACUGGGCGUAAAGCGUGCGCAGGCGGUUCGUUAAGACAGAUGUGAAAUCCCCGGGCUUAACCUGGGAACUGCAUUUGUGACUGGCGAGCUAGAGUAUGGCAGAGGGGGGUAGAAUUCCACGUGUAGCAGUGAAAUGCGUAGAGAUGUGGAGGAAUACCGAUGGCGAAGGCAGCCCCCUGGGCCAUUACUGACGCUGAGGCUCGAAAGCGUGGGGAGCAAACAGGAUUAGAUACCCCAGUAGUCCCUGUCUCUUAUAC